rnacentral:sRNA from 1 species
CAUGAGGAUGAGAACCUCCGGGGGCGGGGAGGUUCGACUCGAGCGAAGCGAGAGAACGUUGCGCCAGCAACGGCCCGCAGGGCGAGCCACGAAGUGGCGAGUAAUCCUCUAUCACCGACCA